GGCUCGGUAGUGGAGGGUCCACGCCCUCAAUAAAUAUCAAGACAUUUAUAUUUGGGGAGCGCCCGUUCGACUCGGGCCCGAGCCA